rnacentral:sRNA from 1 species
UAUUAUACAAAAAGUGCCGUAGACAGCAGGUGACAAUAUGUCGUAACGUGAAACUACCUGCCGAGGAUACAUUUGAUUUUGUAUUUGCCUCCCUGUCUAUGACAGGGAGUUUUUUUAU